CGCGGGUGCGCGUGCGGGCGCGGGGUGUGUGCCCGCGCCGUGCCCCCUGCGCGUGCUGCCAGGCGGGCGCCGGCGUGAGUCACGGCCCUGCUGCCUUUAUAACGGCCGCGAGGCGCGCGGAGCCGCCCGCCCGACCGCUGCUCCGCGUUCCGGCGAGCGCGCCCGGCCCGCGCCCCCAACGUCCCCCAACCGCCGGCCAGGCCCGAGGGCGCCAUGAGGAGCCCGCGCUGCGCCCCGCUGCUGCUCCUGCUGCUGCUGCCGCCGCUGCUGCUCACGCCCCCCGCCGGGGACGCCGCCGUCAUCACCGGGGCCUGCGACAAGGACCCCCAGUGUGGUGGAGGCAUGUGCUGCGCUGUUAGUAUCUGGGUUAAGAGCAUAAGGAUUUGCACACCUAUGGGCAAAGUGGGAGACAGCUGCCAUCCGCUGACUCGUAAAAAGCAUUUUGAAAAUGGAAGGCAGGAAAGAAGAAAGAGGAAGAGGAGAAAAAGGAAAAAGGAGGUUCCAUUUUUUGGGCGGAGAAUGCAUCACACGUGUCCAUGUAUGCCGGGCUUAGCUUGUUUACGGACUUCGUUUAAUCGAUUUAUUUGUUUAGCCCGAAAGUAAUCACUUUGGAGUAGAAACUUGAAAUGUGAACAGCCGCACGAUGUCUGUAAAGUCUAUUUACUUGUGAUUGUGCCAAACAAGUAAGAUGCCAGAAAGAAAUGCUGUUGCUUCCUCAACUUUCCAAGUAACAGUUCUAGCUUUGAUUUUUAAAUGAUGGUUUUUUUAAAUUGAAAGAGGAUUUUAAUUUUGGACAGAAAUGUAAAGUGCAAGGCAUUAUGGAACCAGUUCUCGUUUCCCUGUUUGUGUUUUGGUUUGGUUUUGCUUUUUUUUUUUUUAAUGCCAAUAACUCACCCAUUUUCACAAAAAUGAGGAGAACAAGAAUUUGAUAUUUUGUUACAGAAACUUAUUUUUCCUUAAACCCCUGUCCCCAAGCCCUGGCCCCAGAUACACACACACACACACACAGCCCUUUGAGUCUCGUCUCUCACUCGUCAAGGAAUUUUAAGUCUGUCACUUUAUUCUUUGCCAUUUCCCUCUCUGACCUUCUAGCAUUUUAAAGUGUGCGCGUGGGGUCCAUGUCCUUUAACUUGCUGGCAGAAUCACUGACAAGAAUCAAGCUUUUUGCUUGAUACUUAAACAGUGGAAAGAGUCUAGUGGAACCAGCUGCUCCAGACUUCUCUUCUGUGGGGUGGAGGUUGGGGUGCUUCUGAAUUUCCACUGAACUUGCCUCUGAGAUGGACUUCAGGUCUGCUGUUUGACUGGGGGGAGGACAGGAGGCAUGGAAAGUCAAAUUAGUCCAGAUUUGUAGAUUUGGGGUUUUUUUUUUUUGAAGGCUUUUCUAAUACAAGAUUACUUUUAUUUCUCUUUCUCUUUAUAAAACUUUUUUUAAAGUCUCAUAGUUAGAGAUGUUCCAGAAAAUGUCACUUGAAGAGGAAGUAUUGAUUUUAAUCUGGCAUAACACUAGUUACCAUUUUUAAAUCGGUAUUACGUUGUAAUUUAAACUUUAUCUGUAACCAAAAGGUCUGUUGUAAUGGAUUGCCUGACAUCCUGCCAUUUGUACCUGUAUCAAUAUUGUGUAAAAAUUCUGUAUCAGAAUAAUGACAGUAUUGUAUAUCAUUUGAUUUAUUUUAAUAUUAUAUCCUUAUUUUUGUCACAGUUGUCGUCAGUUUUUAUUACAAGGAAACUCCUCUAUAGCUCACAUUCUAAAGUGGGUAAAGACUCCAAAGUUGGUAAAAUAGCACUAACGGCAUGUGCAUUUUCAUUUUACAUACAGGAAAGUUCUGUUUGCAUGAAUUUUAAGGUAGUACAAAAAAUAAACAGUGUGUAAAUCAGUGAGGUUUUGGAGCACAACGGAAAAUUAUGACAUGCAAAACUGACUGUAAUCAGGAAUGGACUCAUGGGAUUUCACUGUGUUGAUCUGGCCAAUAGUGCCGGAGUGUUUGUCAUGGUUAGGCAGGUGCUAGCCAAAAGGCGAUGCCCGUGUAGCCUGGCCUUGAAAAACCCACGGAGUAUUGUAAAUGAUUGAACGUCGCAAAUAAACAACUUAUGAAAUGCGUUCAACUGACUAAACUUGACCAUGCCAACCCACUAACUGUUUCCAAAAAAAAAAAAAACUGUCCAUUUGUAGUUCUUUACUCAGCCAGGGCUUACAAUUGUACAUUGUGUGUAACUUUACCCUUGGGGUUAACACGUCCCAUGAAUGUAUGGGAUUUUGCUGUGCUAAUUGCCAUACUUCAUCAUAGAAGUAUUAUUUUUGGUUCAGUUAGUUUGUUUUCAAGAAGCUUUCCUCAGCCCAAUGGUGUAGUGGUUGGGUUUGCGUUCUCCACUUCAGCAGACUGGGGUUCCCGGAUUUGGAUCCCGGGCAUGGACCUACACACUGCUCAUCGGCCAUGCUGUGGCAGAAACCCACAUACAAACUGGAGGAAGAUUGGCACAGAUGUUAGCUCAACGGCAGUCUUUCUCAAGCAAAAAGAGGAAGAUUUGCAACAAAGGUUAGCUCAAGCCCAAUCUUCCUCACCAAAAAAAAGAAAGAAACAUUCCUCAGUGAAUUUGUUGAAAAAAAAUUCAAGUGGAAUUGUGGGAAAAGAAACAGGCACUUCCAUAAUUUUGCUCAAUGUUGUUUUUAUAUAGUGUUUGAUACAUCCUUUUUCAUAAGUGGUGAAAACUUAAUAGGGUCAAUCAUCGAUUUUCACCCAAGUUAGAAAACAUAUAGCUAAUUUUUAUAAAAUUUUACUUUUACGGAUACCAA
ensembl:lncRNA